AGUGAACGCUGGCGGUAGACCUAACACAUGCAAGUCGAACGGCAGCACAGUAAGAGCUUGCUCUUACGGGUGGCGAGUGGCGGACGGGUGAGGAAUACAUCGGAAUCUACUUUUUCGUGGGGGAUAACGUAGGGAAACUUACGCUAAUACCGCAUACGACCUACGGGUGAGAGCAGGGGAUCUUCGGACCUUGCGCGAUUGAAUGAGCCGAUGUCGGAUUAGCUAGUUGGCGGGGUAAAGGCCCACCAAGGCGACGAUCCGUAGCUGGUCUGAGAGGAUGAUCAGCCAAACUGGAACUGAGACACGGUCCAGACUCCUACGGGAGGCAGCAGUGGGGAAUAUUGGACAAAGGGCGCAAGCCUGAUCCAGCCAUACCGCGUGGGUGAAGAAGGCCUUCGGGUUGUAAAGCCCUUUUGUUGGGAAAGAAAAGCAGCAGGUUAAUACCCCGCUGUUCUGACGGUACCCAAAGAAUAAGCACCGGCUAACUUCGUG
rnacentral:rRNA from 1 species